GACGGAGGGUGCUAGCGUUGUUCGGAAUUACUGGGCGUAAAGGGCGCGUAGGCGGCCUGGUCAGUCGGAUGUGAAAGCCCGGGGCUCAACCCCGGAGGGUCUUCCGAAACUGCCGGGCUAGAGUGCGGAAGAGGCAACCGGAAUUCCCAGUGUAGCGGUGAAAUGCGUAGAUAUUGGGAAGAACACCGGAGGCGAAGGCGGGUUGCUGGGCCGACACUGACGCUGAGGCGCGAAAGCGUGGGGAGCGAACAGG
rnacentral:rRNA from 1 species